GUAUGUCCUCAUGCAUAGUGGGAGCUAAGCUACGAGGAUGCAAAGGCACAAGAAUGGUACAGUGGACUCUGGGGACCUAAGGGGAAAGGUUGAGAAAGGGGUGAGGGAUAAAAGAUUACAGAUUGGGUGCAGUGUAUACUGCUCGUGUGAUGGGCACACCAAAAUCUCACGAAUCACCAUUAAAGAAUUUACUCGUGUAACCAGACACCACCUGUUCCCCAAUAAUCUAAGGAAAUAAAAAUAAAUUCAAAAAAUAAAAGUAAGAAAGAAUGACACUGACAGAAAUCUAUAGGAAAUAGGAGGCUAUUUGCUGGACCAGAGUUUCUACAUAGGCAUGGUUUAUUCUGUUGCUUAAAAACAAACCAUGUUCCGUUACUUAUUUUUCUAAUAAAGAAGAACAACAUCUGACUUCUACUGAGCUCAGUAUGCCUUUGUUGUUAAAAAAGCAAGCUCUGGAGUCAGCCCUGACUGAAUUCAAAUCCUAGCACCACCACCUUGACCUUGGGAAAAUUACUGUACCUCACUUUGUCCCGGUCACAUUUGUGAAACAGGACUAAUAGUACCUAACUCAUAAUCUGUGGAAAUCAACUACAAUGAUGAGCUGUAAGAGCUUAGCAGAGUGCCUGAAAUACAGAAAAUACCUAGUAAAUAUUUGCGUUUAUUAUGCUGUUUGUUUUUUGGAGGCAGAGUCUCACGCUGUCCUUCAGGCUGGAGUGUAGUGGCGCCAUCUCGGCUCACUGAACCUCUGUCUCCUGGGUUCAAGUGACUCCCCUGCCUCAGUCACCCAAGUAGCUGGAAUUACAGGCACAUGACACCAUGCCCAGCUAAUUUGUUUGUUUAUUUUUGUAUUUUUAGUAGAGGUGUGGUUUCACCAUGUUGUCCAGGCUGGUCUCAAACUCCUGACCUCAGAUGAUCCACCCACCUCAGCCUCCCAAAGUGCUGGGAUUACAGGUGUGAAGCCACCGUGUCUGGCUUUUUUAUGACGUAUUUUUGCCAGAUGCUUUUUGUGUGUUAUGUCCACACAUUUUAAAAAUGUAUCCAUAAGAGCAUCUUUACCCAUUGGAUAUUUUGUUCCCGUAGUAUAAGUGAGGAAAUAGAGGCUCAGAGUAUUCAAGUCAUAUAUCGAAGAUCACACUGUGGUACAUUGCACGAGGGAGAUUACAACUCAGGUCACUUUGGCCCCAUUGUGGGUCACAUAUUCUAUUUCAUCUCUAAACAAACUCAGGGGACCCAAGCAUUAUAAAUGAGUAAUCCAGAUAAUUCUUCAACAAAAUAGAGUGUCCAAGGAAGUCUUUGGGUUUGCUUUUGUUCUGCCUGAACCAAAAUCAUGGCACUUAAUAAAAUCUUUCCGGCAGUCCCUAAAAUCUUACUGGCAAGGGUGCUUUUAUUAUAAACACAUCUUCCUAUAAAUUUUGUUAAGUAUUUCAUCUUUGUUAUCUUGCUGAAGCAGAAGGGUACUGUUCUGGAAUGUGAAAUGUAUGAAAUUACAAUGUUAGAAGGUGGAAGUAAGUCCUACUUUUCCCCAUGGAAGAAGUUUGAGAGGCAGUGCUUGGGCAGGUUUCAUCCUUACAUGGCCAGACCUGACCCUAUAAAGAUGAAUGGCUAUUACAGUGGGGCUCAGAGAGGUAAGCCGACAUGCCUCAGUUUACCUAACUAGUAACUGAGCCCUACUUUCAUCAGUUCAAAAACCAGAAAAAGAAAGAACUGCCGGCAGAAGGGAAACGUGAAGAAGGUGAAGAUGGCGGUGGCCAGGGCCGGGGUCCUGGGAGUUCAGUGGCUGCAAAGGGCAUCCCGGAACGUGGUGCCGCUGGGUGCACGGACAGCCUCCCGCAUGCCCAAGGACAUGUUGCCAGGGCCCUAUCCUAGGACCCCAGAAGAACGGGCCACCGCCGCCAAGAAGUAUAAUAUGCGUGUGGAAGACUACGAGCCUUACCCGGAUGAGGGCAUGGGGUAUGGCGACUACCCGAAGCUCCCUGACCGUUCACAGCAUGAGAGGGAUCCAUGGUAUAGCUGGGACCAGCCGGACCUGAGGUUGAACUGGGGUGAACCGAUGCACUGGCACGUAGACAUGUACACCAGGAACCGUGUGGAUACGUCCCCCACACCUGUUUCUUGGAAUGUCAUGUGUAUGCACCUCUUCGGUUUCCUGGCUUUCAUGACAUUCAUGUUCUGGGUGGGGGACGUGUACCCUUCCUACCAGCCUGUGGGACCAAAGCAGUAUCCUUACAAUAAUCUGUACCUGGAACGAGGCGGUGAUCCCUCCAAAGAACCUGAGCCAGUGGUUCACUAGGAGAUCUGAGGAGGCUUUGUGGGCUUUUGUGUCCUCUUAACUAGGACUCCCUUAUUCCUAGAAAUUUAAUCUUAAUGAAAUCCCUAAUAAAACUCAGUGCUGUGGU